CUUGACCGAGCCCAGCAGCAGCGGGCCGGCGUCGCCCCGGUCCUGCCCGUACGUCGCGAGCAGGGCCUGCGCCUC
rfam:Micromonospora echinofusca strain DSM 43913 genome assembly, chromosome: I